GGGGGGGGGGGGGGGGGGGGCGGGGGCGGGGGGGGCGGGGGGAGAGGCGGGGGGGGGGCGGCGCGGACGGUAGCGGCGGGCGGGUGGGUAACACGGGGGGAACCGACCUGUAAGACGGGGAGAAGUUCGGGAAACCGGAGCUAAUACCGGAGAAUAUAUUGAACCGCAUGGGUCAAUAGUGAAGGACGGCGUUGCUGUCACUUAUAGAUGGAUCCGCGCCGCAUGAGCUAGUUGGUACGGUAACGGCUUACCAAGGCAACGAUGCGUCGCCGACCUGAGAGGGUGAUCGGCCACACGGGAACUGAGACACGGUCCAGACUCCGACGGGAGGCAGCAGUAGGGAAUCUUCCGCAAUGGGCGAAAGCUUGACGGAGCAACGCCGCGUGAGUGAUGAAGGUCUUCGGAUCGUAAAACUCUGUUAUUAGGGAAGAACAAAUGUGUAAGUAACUAUGCACGUCUUGACGGUACCUAAUCAGAAAGCCACGGCUAACUACGUG
rnacentral:rRNA from 1 species